rnacentral:lncRNA from 1 species
CUUAUUCACAAUUUGCUGAUGACAUGGUUGGAGCUCAGAGAGGCUCAAUAAUAUUUACAGAGUCGUCUAGAGCAAAAACAUUAAUCCCCAUCCUCUCUGGAGCCAAUUUCUACUAUUCUGCCUCACACAACAUCCAAUAUUCAAUAAAAAAUUACAAGACACACCGAAAAAAGAAGAAGAAAUAAACUUAUUGUCAAGAGAUAAAGCAAUUAAGAGAACAAGACUAAGAGAUGACCCAGAAGUUUGAACGAUCAGAGGAGUUUAACCUAACUAUGAUGAUUAUGUUAAAGGUCUAGUAAGAAAAAUGGACUACACACAUGAACAGAAGGGGAAUUUCAGCAGAGCUGGAAACCAUAAAAUGGAGUCAAAUACAAAUGUUAAAAAAUGCAAUGUCAGAGAUAUAAAAUUUUUUUGUCAGACUCAUCAGCCAAUUGGACAAGGCUGCAGAGAGCAUUAGUGGACUUGUAUGUAGGCCAAUGGAAAUUAUCCAAAAAGAGAAGAAAGAGUAAAAAAAAAAAAAAUGCCAGAGUGAAUCAUCCAAGAAUUGUGAUACAAUAUCAAGUUGUCUAAUAUGUGUGUAACUGGAUUUUCAGAAGGAGAGGACAAAGCAUCAAUUGUAUUAAUGAUAAAAAAAUGAUUGAAAGAGUGGGAUCUUUCAUUUCUGACGAAGUAGCACACCAGUACUCUGACCCUUACACUGAAGAUGACUAAAAAUGCUAGAUAAUAUUUGAGAAACAUCUUAUUAAAUAUAUGAAUGAACUGAUUAACAAGAAUAUUAGACAAAAGACUAAGUAUCGAAAGACUAUAUACCAAGAGAUACAUAGAAUAUUUUUUGCUUUUAAAAGGUUUUUAAACUUUUAAAUAUAUAUAUAUACAUAUGUGUGUGUGUGCGUGUGUGUGUGUGUACUCUGUUGCCCAGGCUGGAGUGCAGUGGUGCGAUCUUGGUUCACUGCAACCUCCACCUCCCAGGCUCAGGUGAUCCUCCCACUUCAGCCUCCUGAGUAGCUGGGACCAAAGGGUGCUAAAUUUUUUUGUGUUUUUUGUUUGUUUGUUUGUUUGUAGAGAUGGGGUUUCGCCACAUUGCCCAGGCUGGUCUUGAACUCCUGGACUCAAGCGAUCAGCCUGCCUCAGCCUCCCAAAGUGCUGGGAUUACAUGCAUGAGCCACUGCGCUCAGCCUUAAAAACAUACAUAUUUUUUAAUUCCAAUAGCUUUUUAGGUACAAAUGGUUUUUGUUACACGGAUGAAUUGUAUAGUGGUAAAGCCUGAGAUUUUAGUGCACCCCUCACCCAACUAGCGUGCAUUGUAUCCAAUAUAUAGUUUUUUUAUCCCUCACCUCCCUCUCAUCCUCCCUGCUUCUGAGUCUCCAAUGUCCAUUAUAGCACUCUGUAUGCCUUUGUAUACCCAUAGCUUAGCUCCCACUUAUAAGUGAGAACAUACAGUAUUCAGUUUUCCAUUCCUGAGUUACUUCACUUAGAAUAAUGGCCUCUAGCUCCAUCCAAGUUGCUGCAAAAAACAUUUCAUUCUUGUUUAUAGCUUACUCAGCAGUGUUCCAUGGUGUAUAUAUACCACAUUUUCUUCAUCCACUCAUCACUUGAUGGGCAGUUAGAUUGGUUCUAUACCUAUUCAACUGUGAAUUGUGUUGCGAUAAACAUAUGUAUGCCAGUGUCUUUUGAUAUAAUGACUUAUUUUCCUUUGGGUAGAUACCCAGUAAUGGGGUUGUUGGAUAGCAUGGUAGAUAUACUUUUGGUUCUUUGGGAAAUCUCUAUACUGUUUUCCGUAGAGGUUGUACUAAUUUACAUUCCCACCAAUAGUGUAUAAGCAGUCCCUUCUUACCACAUCCAGUCAACAUCUAUUGUUUUUUGACUUUAUAAUAAUGGGCAUUCUGGGGCCAGGCAUGGUGGCUCGUGCCUGUAAUCCCAGAACUUUUGGAAUGCAGGAGGAUUGCUUCAGUUCAGGAGUUCAAGACUAGCCUGGACAAUAUUGUGAGACCUUUACUGUACAAAAAAUAAACAUAAAAAUAAAUUAGCCAGGCAUGGUGGCAUGCAUCUGUGGUCCCAGCUACUUGGGAAGCUGAGGUGGGAGGAUCUCUUGAGCCCAGGAGGUCAAGGUUGCAGUGACCUGUGAUCAUGCCACUGCACUCCAGCCUGGGUGACAGCAAGACCCUGUCUCAAAAAUAAUAAUAAUGGCCAUUCUGACUGCAGUAAGGUGGUAUCUCAUUGUGGUUUCGAUUUGCAUUUUCUUGAUAAUUAGUGAUGUUGAGCAUGUUUUUAUAAGUUUGUUGGUCAUUUGGAGAUACAUAAAACAUUGAACAAGCUUUCUCUUUGAGAAAGUUUAAGGAAUGUGGUAAACUUAAAUUCCAUUCAGAGAUCAGGAGAUUGUAGACAAAUUCCAGAUUCUGCCACAUUAAGGAUACUAUAGAACUCCAACAAAAAUGAGACCCCAAAAUAUUAUACCUCAAUACAGUGGUGAACAAAAAUAACUCUCAGGUCUGCAAGGAAAGUUACCAUGAUUGAGUAAAAGCUAAGUAGAGGGUCUGAAGAAAUUCCCACUUAUAAAGUUAGAUAAAAUAUUAACUCACAACAAAAAGGGGAAAAAAAGAAUCACAGCAUUCUGAGCAAGAGCAAACAAAAAAAGAUCAAGAAUUAACCCACAGUGUCCUCUGAUAUUGGAAUUUUUUGGUUAAAAUUAUUUAAGCUAUGUCCAUUAUUUCAAGGAAGUCAAAGAAGAGUUUGAAAGUAGAAUAGAGAGCAUGGGACCAUAAAAAAAAAUGACCAAGCAUAUUGUAGAAAGAACCAAAUAGAACUUUAGGGAAUAUAAAUUAUACUCAGUGAAAUUUUAAAAUUCGGGGACAAAUUUAACCAAUUUAAUGAGAGUUAGUAAACUGCAAGACAAUAGUGAUGAAAUUUAUGAGAAUUUAGCACAGAAAGACAAAGAAUGGAAAAUAUAAAUGAAAGGUUAAGAAAUAUGAAGGAUAGAGUUAUAUUGUCUAAUGUGUUUAAUCAGGGUUUCAGAAAAAAGAAAAUGGGACAAAGAAUUAUCUGAAGACAUAAUAAAUCAAAAUUUUCCAGAAUUUAGAUACACAAAAUCAAGAAACCCAGUGAAUCCCAGACAGAAUAAAUAAAAAGACAUAUUUUAGAGAAACUACAGACCAGAAGAGACAAAAGAAGCUCUUUGAAGUAAGAGAGAAGAGAUGGACUAUCUUGAAAAAAGCAACAAUUGGACUUUUAGCUAACUUCUUAACAGCAACAAUGCAAGCCAGAAGAUCUUCCACAUGCUGAGAGACAACAAUUAUCAACCUAACAACUCUGUGCUCAGGGAAAAUAUCUUUUGAAAACAAGGACAAAGUAAGGAUAUUUUUCAGAUUAAAAAGUGAAAGAGUUGGCCAGCCAUGGUGGCUCAUGCCUGUAAUUCCAGCACUUUGGAGGGUGAGGCGGGUGGAUCACCUGAGGUCAGGAGUUCAAGACCAGCCAAGCCAACAUGGCAAAACCCCAUCUCUACUAAAAAAAAAUACAAAAAUUAGCUGGGUAUAGUGGCACGUGCCUGUAAUCCCAGCUACUAGGGGGCUGAGGCAGGAGAAUCGCUUGAACCUGGGAGGCAGAGGUUGCAGCGAGCCAAGAUCAUGUCACUGCACUCCAGUCUGGGCAACAGAGUGAGACUCUGUCUCAGAAAAAAAAAAAAAAAAAAGUGAAAGAGUUUACUACCAGCAGGUCUUCACUACAGGAAAUUAGAAAAAGUGUCCUUUAGGCAAAAUUAAAUGAUUAUAGAGUGGACACUAAUAUACAAGAAGUGAGGAGAUUGGCUCCAGGCCAAAAUCAAAAUCUGUAUGUGACUUUCCAGGCCUGACUUUAGGCAUUACAAAGGCUUUGCCUGGCAGGCGCUACUGGGAGAAAGCUGCCCCCUUGAUGUGGUUUGAUUGUGUCCCCACCCAAAUGUCAUCCUCAAUUCCCAUGUGUUGUGGGAGGGACCUGGUGGGAGGUAAUUUAAUCAUGGGGGCAGGUCUUUCCUGUGCUGUUCUCAUGAUAGUGAAUAAGUCUCAUGAGAUCUGAUGGUUUUAUAAAGGGGAGCUUCCCUGCACAAGCUCUCAUUUGUCUGCCACCAUGUGAGACGUGCCUUUCACCUUCUGCUGUGAUUAUGAGGCCUCCCCAGCCAUGUGGAACUGUGAGUCUAUUAAACCUCCUUUUCCUUAUACAUUACCCAGUUUCAGGUAUGUCUUUAUCAGCAGCCUGAAAACAGACUAAUACACCUCCCCACAGCUGACUUAGUGCUCUGCCAGUGGGUUACAGUUUUCCAGAAGGAGCUGCAGUCAAGGACUCAGGCCGCCUAGGGCAGCCACCCAUUCCUCACCCAAACACCUCCAUUCAAGGCCUCCUUAUCUUAUGACCAAGAUACUUUCAUCCACUCUGACCCAGUACUUUUCUAGUCCUAGACUUCCCCUACUCCCUUCUGUCAGUCCCCUGGACCAUAAAAUGUCAGGAGUCAUUUGUUCAGGGCUCUUUGGUAGUGAGAUGAUUUUCCCUGUCUGAGCUGAUUCAUCUGACCCUUGCCUACUGCCAUUCCCUGGGGAAAAAAUGGAAUGUUAGGAAGCUGGUGCUUAUUUUUGCCUCUUGUUUACACUAUUUCUGUAAGUGAUUAAGGCUUGAUUGUUAACUUUCAGUUUGGCUUAUUGUUCUGACUGACCACCUAAUCCUGGCCACUGGACAGAAAUUAAGAGCAAAGAAAGUGAUAACCGUUUUAAACAAACAUAGAAUAAAUAAAAACCACAAUAAUAAGGUGGUAUUUGAAAAGAAAACAAGAUGGAAAGAAUAUAUUUCACUGGAAUAGCAUGUGAAUAAGACGUGAAGUUACUGGAAUUAGUGUUCUAAGGUCCUUUUGAAACUGCCUUUGCAAAAUUAUAACAGUAAGAAAAAUCUGACCUAGUUGACUCCAUCUUACUUCUAACCCCAAGCUGUCCUUGGUCAUUCCUGGACAUAGGCCAAGAUAACUUUGAGAGGAAUUUAGUUUACAGUUUAACUUAGAAGCAAGAAUGAUAAUAGUCCCUCCCUGAAACUAACCCUCUCCCUGUUCAAUGGCUGAAACUGCCUUUGUAAGACUAAUGAAAGGCCACAAGAUUAGGAUUAUGGGAGAGGCCCAAGUUCUGCUAAAAUGUAGGCAUAGUUUCUAUAAUUUCUUACUGCUCAGGAGUCAUGUGGCCAGAGGUCCCAAGAUUUAUAACUUCCCCAAUUGCUUCUAUAGGUAUCACUGUUGUAGAACCUAAGACUGGGGAGUUUUUUUUUUUUUAGAUGUUUUUCAGACUGAUCCCAUCUGGACUCAUGACUCAGCUGGUCCUGUGGCUCUGCCCACAGGUGGCCUCACUGCACAAGGACAGUCUUCCAGUGAUGUGAUGGCAUUCCCAACCAAUCAGCUGCACCCAUUCCCUAGUCCCCUGCCCACAAAACUGUCCAUAAAAACCCUAACCUCUGACCCUUCAGGGAGACUGAUUUGAGUGAUAACUCCAGUUCUUCUGCAUAGCUGGCCUCAUGUCAGUUAAACUCUUUCUUUACUGCAAUGCCAUGGUCUCAGGCAAUUGAUUUUGUCUGUGCAGUGGGCAGAAAGAAUAAAUUUAGGAGCUCAUAUGGGAUCCACCCUUGUGGGUGCCUGCUUGCAGUUCAUUGGUUCCCCACAGGUCCGACUGACCUGGAGGUGAGCUCUGACGGCCACUUAUUUCUCCAGAACUGAGGGUCUCUGCUGAUGUCCCUCUGCAGCUGUCCUGCCAGUGAGGCACUGUUGACCCAUCGUGCCUGGGCCUAACUGUCAUGUAGAAAUAGUUUCUGGAAGUCAUCUUUAAACUGGUCUGGGGAGUUCCCUUACACAAGCUCUCUCGCCUGCCGCCACGCAAGACAUGACUCUUUGCUCCUCAUUCGCCUUCAGCCAUGAUUGUGAGGCCUUCCCAGCCAUGUGAAACUGUGAGUCAAUUAAACCUCUUUUAUGAAUUACCCAAUCUUGGGUAUGUGUUUAUUUGCAGUGUGAGAACAGACUAAUACGGAGUUACAGAAAGAAUUAUAAUUAAAAUUAAAACAUAUGUACAACUGAAUAACAGCUCACACACAGACAACACUUUCAUAUCAAAACUUGUAGGAUGCAGGUAGGCAGUU